rnacentral:rRNA from 1 species
AUUGAACGCUGGCGGCAGGCCUAACACAUGCAAGUCGAACGGCAGCACAGAAGAGCUUGCUCUUUGGGUGGCGAGUGGCGGACGGGUGAGUAAUGUCUGGGAAACUGCCCGAUGGAGGGGGAUAACUACUGGAAACGGUAGCUAAUACCGCAUAACGUCGCGAGACCAAAGUGGGGGACCUUCGGGCCUCACACCAUCGGAUGUGCCCAGAUGGGAUUAACUAGUAGGUGGGGUAAUGGCUCACCUAGGCGACGAUCCCUAGCUGGUCUGAGCGGAGGACCAGCCGCCCUGGAACUGAGACACGGUCCCGACUCCUACGAGAGUAAGCAGUGGGGAAGAUUGCACAAUGGGCGCAAGCCUGAUGCAGCCAUGCCGCGUUUAUGAAGGAGGCCUUCGGGUUGUAAAGUACUUUCCGCGGGGAGGAAGGCGGUGAAGUUAAUAACCUUGCCGAUUGACGUUACCCGCAGAAGAAGCACCGGCUAACUCCGUGCCAGCCGCCGCCGUAA